ensembl:lncRNA novel transcript
UUCCACAAGGCCAUGAUGCAAAAGGGAUGUGCCCAGAGAAAUUCCCAUGGAGGAAGGCAAUUAAUUAUCAGCUGGUGUGUUCAUCUCAUUCUGAGAAUCAGGCUGAAGGAACAACCUCUAUCUGGAACAUGCUUUACAUAUCAGAAGGAGAAGAAAGAAAGCAGGGAAAGAAAACAGGCAUCAUGAUGGCAACUAAAGGGUGAUGAGCUUGUUUCCCACUUCACUGGAAAACAAAAUGGGAAUAUUCAGAAGAUAAGUUCCACAGCUCCCAUAGCAUCUUCCUAUCUACCAGGAUUUGGACCUUCUACACCCUGCUCCCAUUAAGGAAUUAGCCUUGCUCUUGUCCAAAACUAGCCUUUGCGUAUGCCUUAGAUCCUAUCCCCCUUGCUUGCUCACAGGCUUUGCUCCAGCAAUUCUCCCUAUUUUUCCCCUAUACCAUCAGCUUCCUCUCUCUACUAGGUCAUUUCCACCAGCACACAACAAUACUGUCUCUCUCAUCUUAGAAAUGGAAACUAACAAAAUUGAGUUCACUUUUCCUUCUGACACUAUCCCUUUUCUACCUCCCCCACUUUACAGCAAAACUCUUUGAAAGCUGCCUGAAUUUCACUGCUUCCAUUUCCUCUCCUCUUCUCACUUAAACCUACUGCUGCCAGAACCGGGACUCCACCACCUCACCAGACCCCUGCUUGUCAAUAUCAUCAAUGACUUCCAUCUUGCUAAAUCCAUUUCUUGUCCCCAUUGAACUUGACCCUCAGUAACACCUUGUCAAAUUAACCACUCCCUUCUCAUGGAAAUGAUUUCUUGUUUUCUAAGACACUACACAUUUCGUUUUCCUUCAACACCCCUGGAUGCUGCUUCCCAGUCUUGUCCCUUAACCUCCUAGCACUGAAGUGAUGCAGGGCUCAGUCCACAGAUCUCUUCAUCUUUCCUGUUCACUCCAUACUCACCCUCUUGGUAAUUCCCUUCCAGUUUCAUCGUUUAAAUGGCAUCUGUCUGCAAAUGAUUAUCAAAUGUAUGCCUCCAGCCAUGGCCACUGCUCUCAACGUUAGCUUAUCCAUCUAACUGUCAACUCUGUAUCUCUACCUGGACGCCUGAUGGAGGUCUCCAAUGUACCAUGCCCUAAACUGAAAUUUUGAUCUUCUUUAUCCACAGAAUCUGCUCGACCCUAUCUCAGUUAAAGGUAUCUAUGCCCUGGUCUAGAAGGCCUUCAGUAAUUAGAAAGCAUGUAUUUUGUGUGUAUGCCUUGAUAAGUGUUGACUGUAGCUAUAGCAAGGGAUAAUUCAUCAUCAGGAAAUGGUCAGGAGAGUGUCUCCAAAUCUUUUAAGCAUGCGCUAACCUUCAUAUAUAGGGUCCUUGUAUUACCUUUUCUCAAGUUGUAC